AAAGAGAAAUUCAAGAAGAUUAACACCAAGCAAUUGAAGAUUAGAAGCAUUCAUUGGAAGAGGAAUGAGAUCUUGGUGUAAGAAUUCUACUUUUUCUUCUACAUCUUUAUUACAAACUCGGUGAUGAUUCUAAGACAAAUUCCUACAUUUUUUCUUGUAUUAUGAAUAGCUAAAUUCAUUGUUAGGAGGAAUAAUGUAACCAAUUGGGAUCUUUUACAUUCUCUUAUUAAGACUUU
rnacentral:lncRNA from 1 species